rnacentral:misc_RNA from 1 species
CCAGCCGCAAGACAACCAAAAAGAAAAAUGCAUAUCCCAAGGGUGUCACAAUAAGCAAAAUGAUCAUCUCCUCUUAGCUUGUCAAACAACUUAAACAAUUUUGUUUAUAAAUUUUCACUAUCAGACGAAGGGGUAGAUUUUAGCCAAAAACAACCAAUCUUGGUACAAGAGACAAACAUCGUCUCCUUUAAUUUUUCCAAGGAACAAGAAAUAUAU